UACCAAGGAGAGGCACAGAUUUGAGGGCAGGCUUGGCAUGACCAACAGAAGGCUUGUGAGCCCCCUUGUGCAUCAGGCAUUGAUGGAGGGAAGGCAGCGUCUGACCAUCCUUAUGAGGACUCCAGAGUCUGUGGUCUACCACUUCUCUGAGGCCUCUGGAUGGAUGCCUUCUGUGACACUGGAGUCAUCGCGUGAUCCUCUCAACCUGAGUGUUCCUCUCCUACCAACCGAUACCUACCACUCAGUUCCUGUUUCUAACAGGCCGUGGGACAGGAGACCAAGCACUUAUGGACAUUUGAAUUCUGUGUAAAAGAAGAGUGAAGAAGCUCUGAACCAGGAGAAAACACACAGAGACACCUCGGAAAGAAAGCUGCAUGAAGGCAGAGGAAGACAUUGGACAGAUGCAGCUGUGAGCCAAGGACUGCCAGCAACCAGCAGAAGCCCUCGGAGAGGCACGCAAUCGACUUUCCCUCAGGUCUUCCAGAAGGAACCAGCCCUACCGGCACAGUGAUUUUGGACCUCUGGCUUC